UCACAUCUGCAGGCUGGCUGGUCCCCAGGCUGGGUUGGACCAGUAUCUCUUCAAAAGGCACACCCUAAAACAUGACUAGGAGC
rnacentral:pre_miRNA from 1 species